rnacentral:rRNA from 1 species
AGCAGCCGCGGUAAUUCCAGCUCCAAUAGCGUAUAUUAAAGUUGUUGCAGUUAAAAAGCUCGUAGUUGAAUUUCGGGAUCAGUUUAUCGGUCGUGCCUAUGGUAUGAACUGGUACAAUUGGUUUCUCCCUUCUGACGAAGCAUGAUGUCAUUAAUUUGGUGUCGUGGGGAAUCAGGACUGUUACUUUGAAAAAAUUAGAGUGUUUAAAGCAAGCAUUAGCUUGAAUACAUUAGCACGGAAUAAUGAAAUAGGACGUUUGAUCCUAUUUCGUUGGUUUCUAGGAUCGACGUAAUGAUUAAUAGGGAUAGUUGGGGGCAUUAGUAUUCAAUUGUCAGAGGUGAAAUUCUUGGAUUUAUUGAAGACUAACUACUGCGAAAGCAUUUGCCAAGGAUGUUUUCAUUAAUCAAGAACGAAAGUUAGGGGAUCGAAGACGAUCAGAUACCGUCGUAGUCUUAACCAUAAACUAUGCCGACUAGGGAUCGGAUGAUGUUAAUUUUUUAAUGACUCA